rfam:Oryza sativa Japonica Group DNA, chromosome 3, cultivar: Nipponbare, complete sequence.
AAAAAGACAAAUCCUGAGUUUCCGUGUCCAACGUUUAACUGUCCGUCUUAUAUGAAUUUUUUUAUAAUUAGUAUUUUUAUUGUUGUUAGAUGAUAAAACAUGAUUAAUACUUUAUGCGUGACUUGUCUUUUUAAUUUUUUUUCAUAAUUUUUUCAAAUAAGACGGACGGUCAAACGUUGGACACGGAAACCCAGGGUUUGUCUUUUU